rnacentral:misc_RNA from 1 species
AACGCACAUUGCACUCUCUGGUAUUCCGGAGAGUAUGCUUGUUUGAGUAUCUGUAAACAUCUCAAAUCUCUCUUCGCUUGCGUCGAGUAGAAUUGGAUUUGAGCGAUCCCGACUCUUUCAUCAGAGAGAGGAGGGUCGCUUGAAAUGCAGGUGCAGCUGGACAUUCUUCUGAGCUAAAAGCAUAUCUAUUUAGUCCCGUCAAACGGAUUAUUACUUUUGCUUCAGCUAAUAUAAAGGUCGAAUGAACUACCAACGCUGAUUGCAGGAAAACUUGUUCGUUUAUUCGGACUUGUAAACUCGAUCUCAAAUCAAGUAAGACUACCCGCUGAACUUAA